rnacentral:rRNA from 1 species
CAGCAGCCACGGGAAUACAGAGGGUGCGAGCGUUAAUCGGAUUUACUGGGCGUAAAGCGUGCGUAGGCGGCUUUUUAAGUCGGAUGUGAUAUCCCUGAGCUUAACUUAGGAAUUGCAUUCGAUACUGGGAAGCUAGAGUAUGGGAGAGGAUGGUAGAAUUCCAGGUGUAGCGGUGAAAUGCGUAGAGAUCUGGAGGAAUACCGAUGGCGAAGGCAGCCAUCUGGCCUAAUACUGACGCUGAGGUACGAAAGCAUGGGGAGCAAACAGGAUUAGAUACCCGGGUAGUCCCUGUCUAUUAUAC